rnacentral:rRNA from 1 species
UACGUAGGUGGCAAGCGUUGUCCGGAUUUACUGGGCGUAAAGAGCGCGCAGGCGGUCGAUCAAGUCGCGUGUGAAAGCCCCCGGCUCAACUGGGGAGGGUCACGCGAUACUGAUCGACUCGAAGGCAGGAGAGGGUAGUGGAAUUCCCGGUGUAGUGGUGAAAUGCGUAGAUAUCGGGAGGAACACCAGUGGCGAAGGCGACUACCUGGCCUGUUUCUUGACGCUGAGGCGCGAAAGCUAGGGAGCAACAGGG